GCUAUGCCCGAUCUCGUCUGAUCUCGGAAGCUAAGCAGGGUCGGGCCUGGUUAGUACUUGGAUGGGAGACCGCCUGGGAAUACCAGGUGCUGUAAGCUU
rnacentral:rRNA from 7 species